rnacentral:rRNA from 1 species
UACGUAGGGAGCGAGCGUUGUCCGGAUUUAUUGGGCGUAAAGAGCUCGUAGGCGGUUUGGCAAGUCGGAUGUGAAAGCUCCGGGCUCAACCCGGAGACGCCAUUCGAUACUGCCAUGACUAGAGUCCGGAAGAGGAGAGUGGAAUUCCUGGUGUAGCGGUGAAAUGCGCAGAUAUCAGGAAGAACACCCGUGGCUAAGGCGGCUCUCUAGUACGGUACUGACGCUGAGACGCGAAAGCGUGGGGAGCGAACAGG